rnacentral:lncRNA from 10 species
CAGAUUCACAUGAAGUCCCAGGAUAGCUUCUGUCGGCUUUGGUGGCCUGUUGCAGCAGCCAGCAGCAGGAAACUUGAGGAGCUAUCAUCUCAGGAAUGAACGGGGCCACAUCAAUAAGGUAAAACUAAGGUCACUCAAGUCCUAGACCCUCAUUUUGCCUUAUUUUUCUCCCAAGGGAUUUUUAAAAUACCAUAAAAAUUGAACCAUCAAAAAAUCACGAAGAGACCUGUAAUGAUGUGGCUCUAAAUGUCAGCUUUAAAAGCCUGGGAAUUGAUAGAGGAAGAGAGAAGAAAGGGUGUCCCAGUUUUCCACAUGCCGAAUGAUUCAGCAAAAUAAUGUGAGCAAGUCAAGACUCUGGAAAAUAUUUUUAGAUGCCAAACAAAAACCUGGAGGUAAAUCUCUGCUACACUGUCAGUUAGGUUCUUAGCAUCCAGUUUGAUUUGUUGUACUUUAAAAUGAAUGGAAGAAAUUAUAAGGAGCACAGAUAACUACAAAUAAUUCAAGGUUUGGGAAAAUGAAAUUGAAUAUAAAACUAUGAAAUGUUAUAGUAGCUAUAAAAUCCUAGUUUUUCAGUGUAGAAGAGUAAAGGUUAAAGAAUGACAGAAACUGUCUUGAAAUAGACAAAAG